UUGAAGGAAGGAAGCUGCGUUAGCUCCCUGCAGCCGCCUCGGUCACGUCUGUCAUUUUGGGUCUCUGUUCCUAACAACAUGGCUGACGUAGCAGGUAAAACAGAUGCCUGCCAUGGUGUGUACAAAGCCAUAUUCCUUCACUCCCCACUGCACUCAAGAAAUGCACUGCCCCGUAGUAGGAGCCAUCACCUCCUCCGAAAACGAUUGCCGUGUGUCAGGAACGUGCAACCUAGCUGGGGGGGGGGAAGCAAAAACAUGUUUGACAAACAACCCUCGUCCUGACUGCAGUGGUGAAAACAAUGCAGGCAGAGAACUGAGGCAUGGAAAGGGUGAAUACAAAGUCACCAAAAAUGUCCAUGGCUAGGCUAUUGACCUAAUCUCUGGAUUUGUCUCCUCUGCCUGUCUCUCCCAAGGAUCCCAUUCUUCGCUUCUGCAGUUUGCUCAGCUGAGUUCUGGCCACUGGACCAAGAAGUGUAAAGAUGCAUAGUUGCAGAACAGCUCAUUUAUUUUUCCACUGGGUUUGUUUACUUUACCAUUGCUUCUUUGCUCUUAACUCGCAGAGGUACAGAUUCUACCUUGAAGAACAGCACCAGGAGUUAUCAGCAGCAUUCAAUGUUUAGCACUUGUAUACCCAUCUUUCAUCUUCAAAUGCCUUGCUUGAACAUACAAAUGGAUCUGAUUUAAAUCCUCUGCACAACCACAGCUGUAGCAUGUGAGACUGUGGAAAGGAGGAGGGAAUAGCCCUACAGACUUGUUACUCCUCCCAGUAAACCCGAAACUGAUGCAACUUUUCUAUGAAGACCUAAAAACUGUUAAUGAAGGUACUGACUCAUCCGUUCUUGAAUCAAGCCUUCAAAUCAGUUUUAGUGCCCAAUAGUGCCAAGAAAAGAACUUUGGCUAUUCCAAAGCAAUGCCCAAGCUGUUUCUUCCAGAGCUCAAACAAACUGAAAAGCAUUUAUGUGAAACAGCAGGAGAAUUCUGGGUAACGAUGGAUGAAUAAAUAUGCUCAGCAUCCUGCUUUCCUUCAGAAUUCCUAUGUACAGUGCACUGCAGUGAAUAUUUACAUUUCAAUACCCAGUGUGCUUCCUCUGCUCUUUCAGAGCUGUCUUGAAUGAGCCCUGGAGCUGCCCAAAGAGGGUUUGGGCUUUUUUGGGUAUGCAAGUAUGAUUUAAAACAGGGUGGUUUGUUUUAUUCCCCUGUCCCAAAACUGUCAGGAAUGUAACAGUGUAACUCCUUUGCUAAGUAAGUAGUCAAAGAUGCCUCUUUCUUGACAAAUCUUCUCCUGAAAGCCAUGCCACUGUAACACUACUUGAAGUUAUUUAAUUUAUUAAAAAGAAAUAUGACUUCAUGUGACAGAUAUGAGUUGAUGGUUUAAUAAUAUAUGCUACUGGAUGCACAAUGGUGAAAUAUCUCUACUGUCAUGUUUUUCAUUCUUUUGAAAAAAUAUAUCCUUAUGCUAGAGUGAUCUCUUGUUUGUCUAUCAAGGUAUUAGUCAACUGACUGACUAUAAGGAAAAGGUCCAUUUAAGACUAGGCAAUAUCUUGGAUUGGAUUUGUUUGCAGAGACUUAGAAACUUGCAUGAAGAACAUCACAGUUACUUAAAAAUGUAUGUAAAUGUUGAAAAAAAUUAUUUUAAGAAUCUCCCAAAUAAUGUGACUGACUUGCAUGUCUUCUAAGUAGUCAGUGACACAAGGUGUGUGGCUACGCCUUUAUCACUGAUUAGACCAAUUCGAUCCUGUUAAUGCUUCUGUGUUAUAAAAGCAUUCAUGUUGCUUGUUGGGCUAGGCACAUUGGGUAUAUACAUUCCUCUGGGAAAAAAGCACGUGUGUCCUAAAGAAUUUAUGAUCUGGGAAGAAAAAUUUACUAUUG